rnacentral:rRNA from 1 species
AUCUGCCCUGCACUCUGGGACAAGCCCUGGAAACGGGGUCUAAUACCGGAUACUCACUGCCUUGGGCAUCCUUGGUGGUGGAAAGCUCCGGCGGUGCAGGAUGAGCCCGCGGCCUAUCAGCUAGUUGGUGAGGUAAUGGCUCACCAAGGCGACGACGGGUAGCCGGCCUGAGAGGGCGACCGGCCACACUGGGACUGAGACACGGCCCAGACUCCUACGGGAGGCAGCAGUGGGGAAUAUUGCACAAUGGGCGAAAGCCUGAUGCAGCGACGCCGCGUGAGGGAUGACGGCCUUCGGGUUGUAAACCUCUUUCAGCAGGGAAGAAGCGAAAGUGACGGUACCUGCAGAAGAAGCGCCGGCUAACUACGUGCCAGCAGCCGCGGUAAUACGUAGGGCGCAAGCGUUGUCCGGAAUUAUUGGGCGUAAAGAGCUCGUAGGCGGCUUGUCACGUCGGUUGUGA